GUCCAGACUCCUACGGGAGGCAGCAGUGGGGAAUAUUGCACAAUGGGGGGAACCCUGAUGCAGCGACGCCGCGUGGGUGAAGGAGUACUUCGGUACGUAAAGCCCUAUCAGCAGGAAAGAAAAUGACGGUACCUGACUAAGAAGCCCCGGCUAACUACGUGCCAGCAGCCGCGGUAAUACGUAGGGGGCAAGCGUUAUCCGGAUUUACUGGGUGUAAAGGGAGCGUAGACGGCCAUGCAAGCCUGGAGUGAAAGCCCGGGGCCCAACCCCGGGACUGCUCUGGGAACUGUGCGGCUGGAGUGCGGGAGGGGCAGGCGGAAUUCCUGGUGUAGCGGUGAAAUGCGUAGAUAUCAGGAGGAACACCGGCGGGGAAGGCGGCCUGCUGGACCGCGACUGACGUUGAGGCUCGAAGGCGUGGGGAGCAAACAGGAUUAGAUACCCUAGUAA
rnacentral:rRNA from 1 species